GCGAGAAGACAGCGCGUCCUUGCGCUACUCGCGGCACUUGGGCCAAUUAAAGCAUUCAAGAAACUAAUCAAUUGUGUACCGACAAGUCGUUUGCAAGGGCUUAUAAAAAGAAGCGGAGAAAACGAGCUACGAUCGUUUUGUCGACAAUCUUCUUCCUGGAACAUGAUCGAAUGUAUCACUUGUUGGCAAGAUGAAAGAGACCCGUAACUGUGAGCCAAUCCCUGUGGCACCAGAGAUGGAAAGGAUGCUGCAUUUUCUCGAUUAGAACCCAAUAAGUUACUCCUCUCAUUUACGUAUUCCAUCGAAACCAGAAUUUCGAAUUAUCAAAGCAUUAAAUUGAUCGUGAAAAAAAUUACUCGAGGGAAUCUGGAGCUUUGACACGUGAAUGACAGACGGCAUUGUGCGUUGAGAUUAAUUCUACGAUAAUCGACGAACACAUCGACCGUGAAUCUUCCCUCUGGCAGCGACUUCACAACCCCUUUGUGCUCCAAAGAGGAAGUUAAAGUUCGACUUUUCUGGCACACAAUUCAAUCUUCGAGGGAAUCGAGAUGAUAAAUCACUGUCGCACCCAGUGUUCUUCGUGUAUUGGCACACUGUCGAAGGUAAACGAAAAUAGUCGUGCCCCUCUAACGUGUAAAAUUCUAGCACAUAGGAAGAAGAUCGACGAUAUCGAAUUGUUGUUCAAGAAAGCAAUGAUGAUGGUUGGAUCGAGAAGAUAGCUGUAUACAAGAUCAUGAAAGUAUUUGACCGUCUGUAGACGAUAUUGAAUCGUUGUCGAAGAAAGGAAUGAUGAUGAUUGAUCGCGAAGGAAGAUUCGAAGCUAUAUACAAGAUAAUGAAAGUAUUUGAUCACCUGUAGACGAUAUUAAAUCGUGAAUUGAAGAAUGAAAUGAUGAUGAUUGAUCAAGAAAGAAAAUUCGAAGAUGAAAGUAUUCGAAUAUUUAUAGACACCUUAUUAUUAAUACGAAUAUAUUUUGUGUUAUUUGGAACAUUUUGAAAUUUCAUUAACACUGUAAUGAGACUCGAUUAUCAUGAUUAUAUUGGUGACGUUUGGAACCCGUUUGAAAAUAUACAAGAUGUUUGAUGCAAGAAUAUAUUUUAUACAGAUUAGAAAAGUCGUAACAAGCAUCAGAAUUUAAAGAGUAAGUUAUGUAUUAUACCAUCAAAUUUCAAUAAAACGAUAUUUAAUUUAUUAUCAAGUUAUUAUUAUGCUCAAGGUGACUUCUCAUACUGUAUAUUAAUUUUUCACUGAAUAUAUGUUUGCAGUAAAUACCAUUCACAUCAAUCAAUAUCAAUACAUCAAUCGUGACAGUCUCAUUACAAUGCUGAUGGAAUUUCAAAAAUGCUUUAUAUAACACAUACGAUGUACAGUGCCGGGAAUAAUUAUAAACACUCAACUCUAUUUAUAUAUUUUUCACAAUAUUAAAACAACAAUUGACAAAAUCAUUUAUAUAAUUUCAUAUUAUAAAAUAAAACAAAACUCAAGAUACAACAAGUAAAUAUUUCCUUCUUUCAAAGUCUGGAAAAAUGAAAUUUCCUCUUAAAAUUGUGCUUUAGGUUGUGAAAAGAUAAAUUCAAUGUUAAUUUAGUUACGUUUUUGUUCAAUACUAAGAGGGUUUAUCUUUAUUUUUGAUUACUUCUAUUAUUCUGUUAAAUGCAAAAUUUAUUAACUUAUUUAAAGUUUCGCUUUGAGUAUCCUCUCACACGAAUUUUAUUCUUUUUUUAAAUCCAAUGAUAUUUUCUAUAGAAGGCUUUUCCUGAUCGCAAAUUUUUCUUCUUAUAAUUCCCCAUAACUUCUCGAUCGGAUUCGGAUCAGGACUCAACGCUGGUCAUGCUAACAAUCCUAUAAUCUUAAAAGCCCUUUUUCCUAGUGGUGGUUGUAUGAACAACAGCGUUGUCUUGUUGAAAGAUUUCAGUUAUAAAAGGCAAUAAUUCACCAUGUAACAUUUCCUGGUAUCCUACAGCAUACCUUACAAAAAUAAUUUCAUUUAAUAUAUCUAUGCGUAAUCAGCGAUUUCUUACAGAUAUUGGAGAAAUAAUUCAGUGUUUGAGUACAUAAUUAUUCGCAACACUGUACACAUAUAUAUAAAUUUUCUAUAAUAAGUAAUUGCAAGUAAUUGCAUGAGCCACUGUAAAUACUACACAUUUAUAAAUUCUUGUAAAUUGACUUAGAUUUGAUUGAAAUGUUAGAACAUUGGCCCACGGUUAGAAUUGGACAGGAUUGAGUAAUUGAGAUAGACAAAUAGCAGGGUAAAUUAGUAAGACACAGGAAGUGGCAUAUGAUUAAAUCUGCUCUAUAUUUAAGCUAUUUCUGAAUGGUUAUUUGGAUUCGUCAGGAUUACGUAUAACGUAGAAUAAAGACUACGUGGGGAAAUUUGAUUGGUGUAAAAUAAGCUGUUGGGUUUAUGCGGUGUGGGUUAGCGUUGCUAUAUGUGGUGUUCCUUUUUGAUCUAUGUGGAUGGCUGAGAAACUUAGAUUAGAUAGUAACACACACACAUAUAUAUAGAUACUAUAAAAAACAAACUAAUACCUUCCUGACAGAUCUUCGUUAUUUUCAUAGUCUACGCCUGUUCAUUUAAAACUAUUUGACUUAAGACUAUAAUCACGUACAACUUUUUUAACAUGGAUCUAAGAUAAACUAAAUAAGAACAACGUACAAGAAAGGUAUAAAUAUUUUCCAAUCAUGAUUUCCAAGAAUUCCUUGGAACGUAGACUGAUGCAUGACAAUCUAUUCUAAAAACCAUUGUUCUUAGUCACGAAAUAUCCGCAGCAUCGGGUGGUAUUGAUCGAAUUCUAGUCUACUUGUCAAACGUAUGACACAAGCGUGUCAUAUGCUGUGAAAAUCCAAGCUUAGUCGUACGCUCUUGAUUAUUAUUCGUGUAACGUUGGACGUAUCCUGUUUAUAUCAUUGGACAUUCAUGUAUAAGAUUCGGGAAAUUUAAACGAAAAUGUACCGAUCUUGGAAUUGAAUAUCUGAGAAUGACUGAUUGCCAGGUCACAUUUAAAUAUUUAUAUAGUUGUAACAGAGUGCGACUGCUAUCUCCAUAUUAUAAUCACAAUUUUUCUAUUAAGAAAUAGAACGAUAGAUUAAAACCGUUAUUUAUUGUAAUAUUAGUAUAGCUAUAAAUUUAUAGCGUCAGUAGUAAAUCUAUAAAGAUUUACAAAAAGAUUUGAAUGAUAAAAACAUAUUUAUGGAUAUAUAGUGUAUAGCUACAAAAAGUAUUUGCACGCUAUAAGGUUGUAGCAUAACAUCUACACAUUAAUUAAUAAUGAUCAAUUAAUUAGGUAUAUUAAAUUUUCAAGUAUCUUUCUAUGACUAUAAAAAUUUGAUAUUAUAGAAACAAAAUAUAGAACGUGAUAAAAAAAACUUCAUUGGAAAAUAAAGGAUAUACCGAUACUUUUGUA